rnacentral:rRNA from 1 species
GACGAACGCUGGCGGCGUGCCUAAUACAUGCAAGUUGAGCGCUGAAGGUUGGUACUUGUACCAACUGGAUGAGCAGCGAACGGGUGAGUAACGCGUGGGGAAUCUGCCUUUGAGCGGGGGACAACAUUUGGAAACGAAUGCUAAUACCGCAUAAAAACUUUAAACACAAGUUUUAAGUUUGAAAGAUGCAAUUGCAUCACUCAAAGAUGAUCCCGCGUUGUAUUAGCUAGUUGGUGAGGUAAAGGCUCACCAAGGCGAUGAUACAUAGCCGACCUGAGAGGGUGAUCGGCCACAUUGGGACUGAGACACGGCCCAAACUCCUACGGGAGGCAGCCGUAGGGAAUCUUCGGCAAUGGACGCAAGUCUGACCGAGCAACGCCGCGUGAGUGAAGAAGGUUUUCGGAUCGUAAAACUCUGUUGGUAGAGAAGAACGUUGGUGAGAGUGGAAAGCUCAUCAAGUGACGGUAACUACCCAGAAAGGGACGGCUAACUACGUG